rfam:Cavia porcellus strain inbred line 2N cont2.11211, whole genome shotgun sequence.
UUGCUGGCCAUAAACUCCACAAAUACCUAUCAGACUACAGGCAUUUAAUCUACAGUUGAAGGUAAACAAAACUGGGGUCUAGUUUAGGCGAAAAGAACGUUUUACAAAACUCCAAACCACCGGAUGUGCCUCUGAAAACAUGUGCCUGGACACACAAGUGCGUAAAACAACCCGCCAGU